GGGGAGCAAAAUGGACGUAAGGCGACCCCCAGGCAGGGGAGCAGGGCGCCUCGGAAACCCCGGGAGUCCCUUCUCUUUCCGGGGCAACGCGCUGCCAGUCUGUGGGGACUAGCUGGAGCUGAAGGCGGGGAGACCCGGCCAGCGCUGCCCCCCGGGGGCCUCGGCGCCGGGCGCAGCCAGCCAGCGCAGCGUAGCGCAGCGCAGCGGGCUCCAUUCCCGGCCGCCGCCGCUCAGCUCAUUGCGCAAACCCGCGGGUCCUCCCCUCCCGGCUCGGCCGCCGCUGCCGAAAGCCCGGAGGCGGGCUGGGACGCUCCGGGCAUCCACAAGGGGCUGAAAAGACCACGCACGGCCCCUCCGGCUAGACCCCGGCUCGGGCCACGGUGGUUCUGCCCCCAGAGCUGGUGGCCGCCCCAGACUGGGGGGGAGGGGGAGGGGGGAGCGGGGAGGGGGGGAGGGGAGUAGGGGAGAGGCUGGCGCCCCCUCCCCCUUUUGGCUCCCGCUCCCGCUGCAGCAGCUGUUGCCAAAUGAACCCCGGAACGGGGACGUGCAACCCACCCCCAGCCCGAGCCACACACGUCGCGGUCAGAAAACUGGGAAGGGGGGCGGCGGGCGGGCAAGGGAAGCUGGCUCUGGGUCGGAGCCUCCGGAAAGGCGAGAACUCACCUGCAAACAGGCAGUCCUUCUCGGCUCUGGACUUCUGGAUCACGACGUCGAUAUCCUUCUGAAUUCGCUCUUGCCUUGAACACAUCCCCAUUAAAUAAAUCCCUGGAAAAGAAGCAGCCGCACCCGGGCCUAUGAAAUCAGCGCCCCGGCGGCCACCCGAACCCGGCGGAAAUCCGGAGGGAGAGCGGCCCGAGCGUUCCCGGCCGACAGGCCCCCACACGCCCGAGGAGGCCGGGCCGGGAACUGCACCACGGAAGUGGAACCGCCUGCCGCACGUCUGGAAGUUCCCGAAAGGACUAAACCACUUCUCGGGACCCCGCGCACAGUGCUUCCCGAGACAACAAACCACCUGAAGGUUUGUCCGGCGAGGCGCAGGAGUGGCCCCGUAAAGGACGGGCUGCCCGAGAGCGGGGGCCCACGCGGCCUGUCCACGUACACCCCCCCCCCAUCCCCGGGCUCCGCACCCCGGCCCCUCCCAGGCUCCCUGGGCCGCACCCGCGCUCNAAGGGAAGCUGGCUCUGGGUCGGAGCCUCCGGAAAGGCGAGAACUCACCUGCAAACAGGCAGUCCUUCUCGGCUCUGGACUUCUGGAUCACGACGUCGAUAUCCUUCUGAAUUCGCUCUUGCCUUGAACACAUCCCCAUUAAAUAAAUCCCUGGAAAA
rnacentral:lncRNA from 1 species